UACGGAGGGUGCGAGCGUUGUCCGGAAUCACUGGGCGUAAAGGGCGCGUAGGCGGCCUGGUAAGUAGGGGGUGAAAUCCUGCGGCUUAACCGCAGGGCUGCCUUCUAAACUGUCAGGCUCGAGCACGGUAGAGGCAGAUGGAAUUCCCGGUGUAGCGGUGGAAUGCGUAGAGAUCGGGAAGGACAUCAGUGGCGAAGGCGGUCUGCUGGGCCGUUGCUGACGCUGAGGCGCGACAGCGUGGGGAGCAAACAGG
rnacentral:rRNA from 1 species